GACGAACGCUGGCGGCGUGCUUAACACAUGCAAGUCGAACGGAAAGGCCCUGCUUUUGUGGGGUGCUCGAGUGGCGAACGGGUGAGUAACACGUGAGUAACCUGCCCUUGACUUUGGGAUAACUUCAGGAAACUGGGGCUAAUACCGGAUAGGAGCUCCUGCUGCAUGGUGGGGGUUGGAAAGUUUCGGCGGUUGGGGAUGGACUCGCGGCUUAUCAGCUUGUUGGUGGGGUAGUGGCUUACCAAGGCUUUGACGGGUAGCCGGCCUGAGAGGGUGAACGGCCACAUUGGGACUGAGAUACGGACCAGACUCGUACGGGAGGCAGCAGUGGGGAAUAUUGCACAAUGGGCGGAAGCCUGAUGCAGCAACGCCGCGUGCGGGAUGACGGCCUUCGGGUUGUAAACCGCUUUCGCCUGUGACGAAGCGUGAGUGACGGUAAUGGGUAAAGAAGCACCGGCUAACUACGUG
rnacentral:rRNA from 1 species